GGAGUUUGGACCGUGUCUCAGUUCCAAUGUGGGGGACCUUCCUCUCAGAACCCCUAAGGAUCGUAGGCUCGGUGGGCCGUUACCCCGCCGACUACCUAAUCCUACGCAUCGCCAUCCCUUACCGAUAAAUCUUUCAUACUCUUCUGAUGCCAUCUAAAUAUAUAUCGGGCAUUAAUUCGGUUUUCACCGGGCUAUUCCCGAGUAAGGGGAAGGUUCGAUACGCGUUACGCACCCGUGCGCCGGUCGCCAUCAGAAGUUGCAAGCAACUCCCAUGAUGCCCCUCGACUUGCAUGUGUUAAGCCUGUAGCUAGCGUUCAUC
rnacentral:rRNA from 1 species